rnacentral:rRNA from 1 species
CACGUAGGGCGCGAGCGUUGUCCGGAAUUAUUGGGCGUAAAGAGCUCGUAGGCGGCCUGUUGCGUCCGCUGUGAAAGCCCGGGGCUUAACCCCGGGUCUGCAGUGGAUACGGGCAGGCUAGAGGUAGGUAGGGGAGACUGGAAUUCCCGGUGUAGCAGUGAAAUGCGUAGAGAUCGGGAGGAACACCAGUGGCGAAGGCGGCUACCUGGACCAGCACUGACACUGAAGCACGAAAGCGUGGGGAGCAAACAGG